rnacentral:rRNA from 1 species
UACGUAGGUGACCAGCGUUGUCCGGAUUUACUGGGCGUAAAGAGCGCGCAGGCGGUCGUUCAAGUCGAGUGUGAAAGCCCCCGGCUCAACGGGGGAGGGUCAUUCGAUACUGAUCGACUGGAAGGCAGGAGAGGGAAGCGGAAUUCCCGGUGUAGUGGUGAAAUGCGUAGAUAUCGGGAGGAACACCAGUGGCGAAGGCGGCUUCCUGGCCUGUUCUUGACGCUGAGGCGCGAAAGCUAGGGGAGCAAACAGG